rnacentral:rRNA from 1 species
AACGAACGCUGGCGGCAGGCCUAACACAUGCAAGUCGAGCGGGACCUUCGGGUCUAGCGGCGGACGGGUGAGUAACGCGUGGGAACGUGCCCUUUGGUACGGAAUAGCCUCGGGAAACUGAGAGUAAUACCGUAUGUGCCCUUCGGGGAAAGAUUUAUCGCCAAAGGAUCGGCCCGCGUUGGAUUAGGUAGUUGGUGGGGUAAUGGCCUACCAAGCCGACGAUCCAUAGCUGGUUUGAGAGGAUGAUCAGCCACACUGGGACUGAGACACGGCCCAGACUCCUACGGAGGCAGCCAGUGGGGAAUCUUAGACAAUGGGGGAAACCCUGAUCUAGCCAUGCCGCGUGAGCGAUGAAGGCCUUAGGGUUGUAAAGCUCUUUCAGCUGGGAAGAUAAUGACGGUACCAGCAGAAGAAGCCCCGGCUAACUCCGUG